rnacentral:lncRNA from 1 species
CUUCCCAUUUCUGAUUUCCCUUUCCGUUUGGUAUUUUCCUUUCUACCAUACCAAACUUACGUCUAGAUCUAGAAAAAGAGGAACGACUUAAUGUAAUAUUAUAACUAAACUUUACUGCGUUUUAAGCACUCUACGCUACACGCGAAACAGCCUACUUUUGCUUGUAGGAGAAUCAGUGCCUUUAAUUGAUCAUUGAUCAUCUGCAUUCAACAAUCUGUACCAGUGAUUGCCACCCGAGGGAUUCCAAGGUCAGUAAAACUUAAAUCUAUUGGAUUUACUCUAUAUUGUGUGAAGUGGCAUUAUUCUUUGCCAGCGAUUAUGGGUUUUGGGUCCGAUUGCCGAGAAAAUGUAGGUUUUGGGGAAGUGGGUUUAUUGUUUUUGUUCGUUUUGUUUUGUGUAUGUGUGUGAUCUGUCUGUCGGCUGCUUGAUUGAUUAAUUUAAUGGUUAGUUUUUGUAUGAUCUGG